rnacentral:lncRNA from 1 species
CACACAGUUUCUAGCACAGAGGAAGAAACAUGUGGCCAGAUGUGGGGGGAAAAGAUAAAGGCAAAGCAUUUCUUAGUUUUCAGAAGGGAAUUAGCUAUUUAGAGCUUUGCUUUGACUCAAAAUCUAUAUGGGAAUAUUUUUAUAUGUUUAUUUUCCUGAGAGAUCCUGGCAAUUCACACAAACAGAAAGCAAGAGGCAGUACUACAGCUAACCUGAGCAUCUGCUGGCCAACCACACAACAUCCGUCACUUGAGAAGACCACAAGGACUCAAAGCUUGCACAGCAAGAGGCCGGCCCGAGAUCAGAUGCUCCCAGGCAAAAGCCAACCCACUCCUCCCAUGAUGAAGCCAUGCCUGCCAACUGGGGAACUUGACUUAGCUCCACAAGCAGCAAUUGAUGGGAACAAAUCCUUGACUUGAGAUAAGGCAGCAUCAGCCUGGCAAACACUUGGUACAGAUCCCAGUCUUCAGCUGCCACCGUGAAAAUCUACAGCGAAACACUUUCAGAUGGAAAACAGCACCCUCAGUCUUGCGAAGAUGUGGAAGUGAGAACUGGUGCAUGCCUCUGACACAGAGGGCUUCUGCAGGGAUACAGACCAUAUUUGUGCUCGCGCAGCCAAGCCGGUUAGGUCACACAAAAGUCGUGCCAGGAGCAGUGCCUGCACGGCAAUGUGGGUGCAGCACAGCCAACAGGGACAACAGCAUGGUAGCACCACACGCCUGCAAACGGGCACCUGCGUGAGGCAGCUCACUGUGCUGCGUGCUCCAGCGCAAGCUCGAGCCUCUGAAGAUGGCUUUGGACUUAAACAGCAAGUCAACUAUUGACUUCUUUUUGUUUCCCCCAAAAUAACUGUUAAUGGCUUAUUCACAGAACUGAGUUAUAGUCGCGUAAAAGUGAACUGGGGAAAUUGUUCAAUUUAUUUUGGUUCAAAAUCAUGUCCCUUGGAAGGCGUGUCUUGAUCUGGCAUAGACUUCUUAAUGGGGGUUCAGAAAAUGCUGAUGUCAAAUACAAAGUUGCACAAUCAGAUUGAAAUUUGAAGUUCGGUACUAUUUCUUGGGACACUUUUCAGCAGAUAAAAAGGUUCCUGAUUAUGGUCUCGAUUGAGGCUGGCACAUCCUCUGCUUCUGGAGUGCUUUGCAUUUGCAUUGAUAGCCUGGGGCUCUACGGGAGACGAAGAUAACUCCACCAUCACAGGUAGACAAACACUUAGCUAACAUCAAAUUACCAUGCAGCCCAACCAAAACCAGGGGCUUGAAGCAGCUCAUGGGACAUGGGGAUGCAUACAGCCAUUGCCCACGAUAAUGAAGGCAAAGGUACAAUCCCCUGUUCUUAACUAAUAAAUAUACAUCCAAAUACAUCACUCAUGACAGAUUUAUAUUUAGCUAUUGAGGAAGCAUAGAAAGGUCUGGCUACUUAUUCCAAGUAUCAAAUCACACAGAUUCUGUCCAUGUUGAGUGUAUCACAACUUGUACAUGGCCACUAUACACAUAUAUUUACAGUGAGCUUUGAAAAUAUUCAUAUCUGAAUUACCACAAUACUUCACAAAAACAAACAAACAAAAAACUUUAUUUAAAAAAAAAAAACAAAACAGUCUCCAAACGGAAUGUUUGGAGUGUCUGUUACUCACUGCAGACAAAAGUUAUUAUUAUUCAUUUCUGCCCCUGACUUGCACUUUAAAAUUUAAGCCUAACACUUCUAACACACCCAACAUCUUCUGUUUCAGUAUACUGAUAUACAAAUUGUGUUCUUCUAUGAACAUCUGCAAGCCAACAAAAACUAAGCUACAAAAAAAUGGUAAGAUAAUUAUAGUAGAAAACUGCCCAGCAUUCACAAGAAAUUAGUGCAUGUACAAUUGCCUAGAUUGUUUAGAAAUUAGUCUGUGGGUCAACCAUGUAUUCCACAGCCAAAAGGCAAGAUUUUUACCCUUUCACUGACAUUAUUCCUACUAAUGCUGACAAGUGGGCUUCCUACUUCAGAUGUAGGUUUAACUUGCAAAGUAUCUAAUAACACAAGGCACCGGAGAAGUAGCAGAUGCUACUCAUAUUUUUUCUAAAUAUAAUAUGUUUUGUUUUUUUUUAAAUGAAUUACUGCAAGCCUAAAACCUAUAUAGUACUUCUUGUAACCAAAUAUUCUCUUGGAGGAAUUUACAGGAAGAGGUAUGUUUUUGCUUCUGAAAUAGCUAUAUGAAUAAACAGUGGUCAGAGACAUGACAGUAUAAUAUUCUGCCUCAUUGUUUUCCAUUUAUUAAUUUAAGAACCUGAGUUUCUAUAGGGACAAAGACAAACCUUUGAAAAUUUACAUAUUAAAUUAGAUAUUUUGAUUCAUUUUAACCCAAAGGUAAGAGGAAAAAAGUGGAAAAAAAAAAAUACAAGACUGGUCAGACUACUCCCAGGAUGAUGAGACAGUUUGAUUCAGAGGUUUAAGCACAGUCCUCAAGGCACAGCAUCUGACAGUAGGCUCCCCACCGCAACUGUAACACAUGCUGACAAUAAGCCUAGCUAUACCUUCUCCCAUGUCAGACAAACUUUACAUACACAAAAUGCUCUUACCACAGGCGCAUUUUGUAUCCAAUUAGUGCCAAGUGGCAAAGAAACUGCAGAAAAGACCUUUCUAAGACAGGAUGAGGCACUCUUGAAGCCUGGCAAGACCCAGAUGGUUCUCUGCAAGGGGAGGACUUCACCAAUUCAGGUCAAAAGGCAGCAAGAAACAUCAGCUGACCAAAGAAACCGUGUGCUUCCAAAAACUGUAGAGCAUACCAAGAAUAAUGGAUAGAGGAUUAUUCAUCAAAACGCAUUCUAAAGAUAGGAGCAUUAAGAGGAUAACCAG